rnacentral:sRNA from 1 species
ACUCUUUGACCUGGCCUCGGUAUCCUCACAUUUAAAAUGGGGAGUUGGCUUAUAUGAUUGGCUGGCAUAUUUGGCUCAGCUCAAAGACUGUCUAUUAUAGAAGGGCAAAUGGUAGUGCCUCAUUGCAGGCAUGGAGCCUUUGACUUGAGGACAUCGGCAGAAACUAGAUGAUCAGACCAAGCCCGGGAGCUUGUCCUUUUCCGAGCGGCUCAGUGAACUGGAGCAGCUGCGGCGCACAGCCAUGAGGGUCAGCCCACACCACCCAGCCCCACGCCCAACCCUCGUGCCUCCCUGAACCACUCCACUGCCUUUAACCCUCAGCCUCAGAGUCAGAUGCAGGGUAAGUACCAGACGGAGCCCACUGCCCGCCUCUCCUGCACCUGGGCCACCACCCACAGCUGGACCCCAUGUGCACAUACCCUCUCAGACCAACUGGGGUUUCCCCUUAAUGCUCAGAGAAAGGCCUCGAACCAACAGCACCACCUGGGAGCUGUUGGAAAUGCAGAGUCUUGGGCCCCAGCCCAGACCCACCGAGUCAGAUCUGCAUUGUAACCAGAUCCCCACAAGGAAAAGCACUGCUACAGAGGAUACGAGGAGCUCUGGGUAUAGAUAUCCAUAUUGGAUAGAUAGCUCUCUUGAAUUUUUUAAGAGUUAGCUUUGGCUAUGCUGUUUUUUUACCUACCCAUUAGGCUUGAAGACACACACACAGACACACACACACACCACACACACACACACACACACACACACACACACACACACACACGUCAAGCAAAGUGAAGAUGGGAAUGUUUCAAGUUCUCGCUAUUGCCAGAUUAUUUGUGGGUUUUGUAUCUAGUGGUUUUUUUUUAUUAUUAAGAAAUAGUAGAAAUGUAUGGAUGCCAUCACAUCAAGGGUGUUAUUUGCAAAUCAAUAUAGAAUGCAGGUCCCCCCAUCCCAUGGGGCUAGCUGGCAAUUACUAAAGCGCUGUAAGAUGCAAUAAUUGCCUAAGGCCCACUGUGCCAAAUUAGAUAAUACAAGAAGUUCAUUUACACUGUAGAACCAGUGACGUCAAUGACUGUUUGCUCUGUGAUACCGUUUCAAAAAUCCAAAAUGCAGACUUUUCUCUGUGCCAUGCAGGAUGCAGCUGUGUGUGAUAUGGUUUACAGUAAUAUUUCUUUCUCAAAGUAGCAGGCUUGUUAAGGAAAAGAUAAGCAACACAUCUCGGGAAAAGGGCAGGUGGCCAGCAAUCGAUGUGGUAGCUCUUUGCCCCUCUCGGACAGCAGGAAUUAGCUUCCCCAGGCAUUUUCUGUAUGUGAGUUGUAUUGUGGGAUGUACGAAUAUCAUCUGUUCCUUUGGGUUUCCAGCCCAGUAGCUCUCUAUUUUGGGUUCAAACAUGGGUUCUCAGGCUGGGCGCGGUGGCUCACGCCUGUAAUCCCAGCACUUUGGGAGGCCGAGGCAGGCGGAUCACGAGGUCAGGAGAUGGAGAGCAUCCUCGCUAACACGGUGAAACCCCAUCUCUACUAAAAAUACAAAAGAUUAGCCAGGCGUGGUGGCGGGUGCCUGUAGUCCCAGCUACUCAGGAGGCUGAGGCAGGAGAAUGGUGUGAACCUGGGAGGCAGAGGUUGCAGUGAGCUGAGAUCACACCAGUGCACUCCAGCCUGGGCGACAGAGCGAGACUCCAUCUCAAUAAAAAAACAAACCAAAAAAAAACAUGGGUUCUCAAAAGGCAUGCCCACUGUCUCCCUUGGAGCUUGACAGCCCAUGCCAUUAGCUCUCACUGUUAGGUUUCUGGGGAAGGUUCUUCUACUUGAUUGGAAAAUUUCCAAAUAAGUCUUUCCAGAAG